CCACCAGGUCCCAUAUCCAGGUCUCAGGGAAGAAAGUGCGGACUGUCUCUAUUGGUGGUUUAUCAGGAGAUGGCCCUUUCUAAAGCCACAGGAAAUCCAACA